UGGGGAGUGGCCAGGAAGGACAGUAGUUUGCUAAUUCUUUGUGAGAGAAACCUGGCUGGAGCCAGGGAGUUGAGUUGGACUACUGGCAGACAGCGUUUCUCUGAAGGAAGAUAGGCCUGCAUCAGGGAGCCUAAGGCAGUUGGGAAGGAAAGCUGGAGGAAGUAAAUCUGCUCUGUAUUCUUUAUGGAGGUGUCUGCAAGGAGCAGGAAGGCUCCUGCUGAGUCAGUGACUGUCCUGCAGCAGAACUAGCUAGGUGACCAAAUGUGCUGAGAAGCUUGGUGGUGACAGUGAACCUGGGGAGGAGGCUUGGCAGUAGCGGGGCUGAUAUGCUGUGAGCCUGGAAAGUGGCUGUGGCAAAGGCUCAAGACACAGCAAGCCUAAUUCCAUGUGACAGCCCUCCAGUUGGAUCCCAGGAAGAAGCAGGACCAGAGUAGCUGUCAGCAGGUGCUGCCAAAGGAAAAGAUGUAAUGUCAUCCCCAGCUACAAGGAGGUGUGUGAGCUGAUGCAGGAAUUUGUCCAGUGUGGAAGCCAAUAACUAUUCAAGAAAUGAUGCAAGUGCUUCAAAGCCAAUCUCAAAUGCACUGUGCUGUACUACUAAUCAGCAAGGCUACAAAUGGACUGCACUGCAGAGAGCUGAAUAAUUUCAAGCAAUUAACUUUUACCACAUGGCACCAAACUCAGAAAAUUGAUUUAAAAUCAAUUGAAGAAAAGGCUCUUGAAGGGAAAUAAGUAUGUUGUAUUGCAGAACCACGGUUAAAAGUUUCUGGAAGACACGGUCUUCAGAAAAAUUUUGAAGAGGAACACUCCACAGACUCUUACUAUUUAGGAAAGGUAGUUCUGAACUGAAACUGAAUACUGCUUCCUAAAAGUAAUAACAUAAUACACUGCAUUUUAUAGCACUUUUAUCUAAGCAUAGUUUGAACAAUAAAUUGAGCUUCACCACACCACUGUGGGGUAUUAACCUAGGGUUUCCAACUUUCUAAUCAGACAAAACCAAACACCCCUGCUCCGAGGCCCUGCCCCUGCUCGCUCCA